rnacentral:lncRNA from 1 species
UGGGAGGCUGAGCAAGUAAUCACAUGUUGAGGAUGAAGGGAGUAGUUGUCUGCUAGCACUGUGUACAGAGUUGAGAGAUUGCUCAUGACCAUGGCAAAGUCCUGUAGCAGGUUGGGGGUGGUGGAGGAAUGUCAAGAUUUCUCAGGCUUUUUAUUGCUGUGACAAGAGAAUUGCCCCUGAGGAGCUUUCCUCAUCUACCCGCUUCAGGAGUUUGGAGGAGAGGAACAAAUGUCUGCACAGAAGUGGGGCAGUGAGAGAUGCUUUGCUGGUUACCCCUGGUGGGGUGAAGGCAGAAUGCUUACACUACCUUUACUGCCAUGUACUUUGCUAGACGCUUCCACAAACUCGGUCUCUAUGCAGGAAGGAGGAAUGGGCUGGUGCCUUCAGGACUGCGUGGGUAUACCUCUUUAAUUGGAAGGGAAUCCUCACAAAGGGAAUCUGAUUCAUUUUACUCUCAGAUCUCUUGACCUGAGUCCAAGUGACUGCUGUCCAUCCAGGCCUUCUCCUGAUUUCUCUGGGGCUUGGAUGGGCCUUGCUUGGCAUCAGGAUUUGGUGCUGACCUCAGUCUCCAUCUCAUCACCCAGAACCCAGGAGCUGAGAACAGAAGUCCCCAAGCAACACAAGGAAAGAAUUCAGGUAUAAGCUGUCUGGGACAGGUCUCAAUAAGUGUUUUGAGAUAACUUCUAGUUUAAAAGACAUGGCUUCAAAAUCCAAACAAAGGGGAGAUGUCUUGGCACAGUAUCCCAGUAUGUGUUUGAAGAGCAUCACACACCAUGAAACUGAAGGCUUUGGGCAGUGCUGCUGAUUGAAUAAUGCUAAAAUACAAAAUGGAACUGUGAUUGAAUUUGAAAUUUGACCAUAUUUGUUGUCCUCUCAACGUUGUCAGUACACAUUACUGCUUCAUUUUUGCCCAGGAAAAUGGGAAAUACAGACCUUGAAGGUGUAACCUUCUGCCUGGCCCUGCUUCAGGUCAACUUCAGUCUGCAGGUGGCCCAGGCAUGAAUCCUCUGUCAUGCAGCAUGGCACAGAGGGCAUCCCAGCCAUUCCCAGAGCUGCCAGCAAUGCCAUGGCAAACCUUGCCAUGCAUUUGGGCCCUGGCCCAGAACACAUCCUCUACACAUCACUGCUUGCAGAGCAGCAGCUUUCUAC